UAGCGGAGAAAGAAACUACAAGGAUUCCCUAGUACUGCGAGUGAAGCGGGAAAGCUCAAAUUUAAAUCUGGCGGUCUUGGCGUCCGAGUUGUAAUCUAGAGAAGUAAUGCCCGUGCUGGACCGUGUAUAAGUCUCCUGGGAUGGGGCGUCAUAGAGGGUGAGAAUCCCGUCUUUGACACGGACUACCAGUGCAUUGUGGUAUGCUCUCAAAGAGUCGAGUUGUUUGGGAAUGCAGCUCAAAAUGGGUGGUAAAUUCCAUCUAAAGCUAAAUAUUGGCGAGAGACCGAUAGCGAACAAGUACCGUGAGGGAAAGAUGAAAAGAACUUUGGAAAGAGAGUUAAACAGUACGUGAAAUUGCUGAAAGGGAAACGCUUGAAGUCAGUCGCGUUGGCCAGGGAUCAGCCUUGCUUUUGCAUGGUGUACUUUCUGGUUGACGGGUCAGCAUCAAUUUUGACCGCUGGAAAAAGGCUUGGGGAAUGUGGCAGCAUUGGCUGUGUUAUAGCCCCUGGUCACAUACAGCGGUUGGGAUUGAGGAACUCAGCACGCCGCAAGGCCGGGUUUCGACCACGUUCGUGCUUAGGAUGCUGGCAUAAUGGCUUUAAGCGACCCGUCUUGAAACACGGACCAAGGAGUCUAACAUGCCUGCGAGUAUUUGGGUGGAAAACCCGAGUGCGCAAUGAAAGUGAAAGUUGAGAUCCCUGUCGUGGGGAGCAUCGACGCCCGGACCAGAACUUUUGCGACGGAUCCGCGGUGGAGCAUGUAUGUUGGGACCCGAAAGAUGGUGAACUAUGCCUGAAUAGGGUGAAGCCAGAGGAAACUCUGGUGGAGGCUCGUAGCGAUUCUGACGUGCAAAUCGAUCGUCAAAUUUGGGUAUAGGGGCGAAAGACUAAUCGAACCAUCUAGUAGCUGGUCUGC
rnacentral:rRNA from 1 species